rnacentral:lncRNA from 1 species
GGGGUGGAAACAGGUUAAAGAAGGAUUGUUAAGCCUUGAGACAUGGAUUGUGUAUGUGUAUGCCAUUCAGAGGUUGAAUGGGCAAGACAAAAUAUUUCAGUGUCGUUGAACGGGGUAUGGUAGUAGGUGCCAGGCACACUGGGUUGAGUCACUGGCAUCAACAUGGGCCAGCAUCCCUUGUGGAACGCUUUCGACACAUUGUUGAGUCCAUGCCCCCGACGAAUUGAGGCUGUUCUAAGGGCAAAAGGGGGUGAAACUAAAUAUUAGGAAAGGUGUUCCUAAUGUUUGGUACACUCCGUGUAUGUAGACACAAACAUUGAGGAGUUGCUCCAGUACAUAACUGGUAAUAAAUAUUUAAUGCGGUUCAGAAGAAGUUCCUUACACCAAGAUCUUAGAACAAGGUGAGUGUUAGUAGCCAUUGGUCGAGCUCAGAGGGGACAAACUCAUCCAAUAACAUUGUCCCAAUGGCCCCUCGUCCAAACAUGGCGUAUCCUCAAGUUCCAUACUGAUCUGAUACCCGGUACAUACAAUUAAUUCCAGCAUGCACCAGUUGACUGUAUAGAUACGUUGGUAUUGACAGUAGGUUUGGAAAAAGAGAAAAACAACUUGUUACCAUGAUUAUGGUAUUUAAAGUCUAAUAAAUUAUUGAAAAUGUUGAGGACAAAAAGGUCACACGUCUUAUAUCAUCUGGGCAAAUAAAAUCAGAGAGGAAUGUCAGAAUCCAGCUGACAACUCUCACGAUGCAUUUCCCUAUCGCUUCAACUCACACAUUCUCAAAGUUUCCCUUUCGACAUCCUUUUGGUCAGACAAGCAAGCAGCGUGACAUAUCCUAUGGCAUAAUCAGCAAAGUGUACCCACAUCAGUCCCAUUUUUGAUUGAAACAAAAAUAUCAACAUGAAUAUUUAGAACCAAAAUCCUUCUAAAUCGAACCCGGCUGGACAAAUGUAAGGAAUCCAUUUAUACAUUUCUUCUUUAACUUUCCCCCUUUACCAACUUUAACUUUCACCAGAGUGUGAGUGGCCCAUAGGAGGCCUCACUCUAUUUGAGCCAGGGGUCGGUCUGUCUGUCUUCUUUGAGCCAGGGGUCGGUCGGUCUGUCUGUCUUCUUUGAGCCAGGGGUCGGUCUGUCUUCUUUGAGCCAGGGGUCGGUCUGUCUGUCUGUCUUCUUUGAGCCAGGGGUCGGUCUGUCUGUCUGUCUGUAUUCUUUGAGCCAGGGGUCUGUCUGUCUUCUUUGAGCCAGGGGUCUGUCUGGGUCUCUGGGUCUGUCUGUAUUCUUUGAGCCAGGGGUCUGUCUGUAUUCUUUGAGCCAGGGGUCUGUCUGUCUGUCUGUAUUCUUUGAGCCAGGGGUCGGUCGGUCUGUCUUCUUUGAGCCAGGGGUCUGUCUGUAUUCUUUGAGCCAGGGGUCUGUCUGUCUGUCUGUCUGUCUGUCUGUCUGUAUUCUUUGAGCCAGGGGUCUGUCUGUCUUCUUUGAGCCAGGGGUGUGUCUGUCUUUGAGCCAGGGGUCUGUCUGUCUUUGAGCCAGGGGUCUGUCUGUCU